CAGGAGUCGGGAACUUCUUUCGCAUACUCCUGUUAAAUAACAGCUUGAAAGAAAUUUAAAGAAUAU
rnacentral:ncRNA from 1 species